rnacentral:rRNA from 1 species
UGAGGAAUUUUGCGCAAUGGGGGAAACCCUGACGCAGCAACGCCGCGUGAGUGAUGAAGGCUUUCGGGUCGUAAAGCUCUGUCAAGUGGGAAGAACCUGCUCCAUGCUAAUAUCAUGGUGCAUUGACGGUACCACUGAAGGAAGCACCGGCUAACUCCGUGCCAGCAGCCGCGGUAAUACGGGGGGUGCUAGCGUUAUUCGGAAUCAUUGGGCGUAAAGGGCGCGUAGGCGGUCUCUUAUGUCAGAUGUGAAAGCCCUCGGCUUAACCGAGGAAGUGCAUUUGAAACUGAGAGACUUGAGUAUGGGAGAGGGAAGCGGAAUUCCUGGUGUAGCGGUGAAAUGCGUAGAUAUCAGGAGGAACACCGGUGGCGAAGGCGGCUUCCUGGACCAAUACUGACGCUGAGGCGCGAAGGCGUGGGGAGCAAACAGG